rnacentral:rRNA from 1 species
UACGUAGGGGGCAAGCGUUGUCCGGAAUUAUUGGGCGUAAAGCGCGUGUAGGCGGCAUGGCAAGUCGGGUGUGAAAGCCCUCAGCUUAACUGAGGAAGUGCGCCCGAAACUGCUUUGCUUGAGUGCCGGAGAGGAUGGCGGAAUUCCCCAAGUAGAGGUGAAAUUCGUAGAUAUGGGGAGGAACACCGGUGGCGAAGGCGGCCAUCUGGACGGUAACUGACGCUGAGACGCGAAAGCGUGGGUAGCAAACAGG